rnacentral:rRNA from 1 species
GAAUCCCGUCUUUGACACGGACUGCCUGUACAUUAUGGUGUGCUCUCGAAGAGUCGAGUUGUUUGGGAAUGCAGCUCAAAAUGGGUGGUAAAUGCCAUCUAAAGCUAAAUAUUGGCGAGAGACCGAUAGCGAACAAGUACCGUGAGGGAAAGAUGAAAAGAACUUUGGAAAGAGAGUUAAACAGUACGUGAAAUUGCUGAAAGGGAAACGCUUGAAGUCAGUCGCGUUGGCUAGAAAUCAACCUUGCUUUUGCUUUGUGUACUUUCUGGUUGACGGGUCAGCAUCAAUUUUGACCACUGGAUAAAGUCUUUGGGAAUGUGGCAUCUUCGGAUGUGUUAUAGCCCAUUGUCGCAUACGGUGGUUGGGAUUGAGGAACUCAGCACGCCGCAAGGCCGGGUUUCGACCACGUUCGUGCUUAGGAUGCUGGCAUAAUGGCUUUAAUCGACCCGUCUUGAAACACGGACCAAGGAGUCUAACAUGCCUGCGAGUGUUUGGGUGGAAAAACCCAUGCGCGCAAUGAAAGUGAAAGUUGAGGUCCUCUUCAAAGGGGGAGCAUUGACGCCCGGACCAGACCUUUUGUGACGGAUCCGCGGUAGAGCAUGCAUGUUGGGACCCGAAAGAUGGUGAACUAUGCCUGAAUAGGGUGAAGCCAGAGGAAACUCUGGCGGAGGCUCGUAGCGAUUCUGACGUGCAAAUCGAUCGUCAAAUUUGGGUAUAGGGGCGAAAGACUAAUCGAACCAUCUAGUAGCUGGUUCCUGCC